CAUUCUGCGCGCCGUCUGCGGUGUGCUGGGGAUUUGGGCAUGGCGGGUGACUGGACACGCCGUUUCCCGCGCCUUGGCGCCAGGCCGCGGGACGAGGAAGCGCGACCCCCCUGAUCCUGGGAAGGCGCCUGCCGCGGCCGGACCGGACUGAAAGUCCAGGUCUCAGGACGCCCUUGGCAUCGGCCUAAUCUCGGCCGCAUCUUCCGAGGGUCCUCUUGAGGGCCUGAGGCGGACUUUGGCCUACGUUCCCUUCCCGGCAAUUGGGGAAAUUAACUAGAUUUACUUUUAUUGAUCGUCGGCUGUUUGCCAGGGAAUCUUGAGCAUAAGUAUAAAUUUUUUUCGCGUGACCAGGAAAGUCCCCCCACCCCCAGUAUAACUGGCCUUGUGCCUGCCCGAGCCCACUGUAAAAAGUGGGUCAACCUCGAGGCAAAGUGCCCUUUGAAAUGCGGAUCACUACAAGUGUGUUCAGGUGCAGAGCUUGGCGGAAAUUUAAUGAGUAUCACCGACUUUGUAGGUGGAAAAUGGAUGCUUGAAUCAGACAUUGGCUUCUGAACACUACCUUGGGAGCACAGAGGUGACUUAAGGUUGUCCUUGGUGAGGAUUUUGGAAAUUUGUUCUUCAAACGUUGCUUGGAUCAUUUUAAAAUUUCCAGGAGUCUGAGGAGUACUAAAAUACUGCCUUUGGACAGAAUACACAUUUAAGAUGGGAUAUUAAUAAAUGCUUUAAUAUGCUUGA